rnacentral:rRNA from 1 species
GAGUGAACGCUGGCGGCGUGCUUAACACAUGCAGUACGGACGAACUCUUCGGAGUGAGUGGCGGACGGGUGAGUAACGCGUGAGAAUCUGGCUGUGGGUCGGGGACAACCACUGGAAACGGUGGCUAAUACCGGAUGAGACCGAAAGGUAAAAGAUUUAUUGCCCACAGAUGAGCUCGCGUCUGAUUAGCUAGUUGGUAAGGUAAAAGCGUACCAAGGCGACGAUCAGUAGCUGGUCUGAGAGGAUGAGCAGCCACACUGGGACUGAGACACGGCCCAGACUCCUAC